rnacentral:tRNA from 1 species
UUCCUGUAGUUAAAUUCUAGUAACAGUGGCUUUUCAGGUCACAGAUCCUGGAGAGAGGCCGGGCGGGAAU